rnacentral:misc_RNA from 1 species
GUAACAAGGUUUCCGUAGGUGAACCUGCGGAAGGAUCAUUACCGAGUGAGGGCCCUCUGGGUCCAACCUCCCACCCGUGUUUAUUUUACCUUGUUGCUUCGGCGGGCCCGCCUUAACUGGCCGCCGGGGGGCUCACGCCCCCGGGCCCGCGCCCGCCGAAGACACCCUCGAACUCUGUCUGAAGAUUGUAGUCUGAGUGAAAAUAUAAAUUAUUUAAAACUUUCAACAACGGAUCUCUUGGUUCCGGCAUCGAUGAAGAACGCAGCGAAAUGCGAUACGUAAUGUGAAUUGCAAAUUCAGUGAAUCAUCGAGUCUUUGAACGCACAUUGCGCCCCCUGGUAUUCCGGGGGGCAUGCCUGUCCGAGCGUCAUUGCUGCCCUCAAGCCCGGCUUGUGUGUUGGGCCCCGUCCUCCGAUCCCGGGGGACGGGCCCGAAAGGCAGCGGCGGCACCGCGUCCGGUCCUCGAGCGUAUGGGGCUUUGUCACCCGCUCUGUAGGCCCGGCCGGCGCUUGCCGAUCAACCCAAAUUUUUAUCCAGGUUGACCUCGGAUCAGGUAGGGAUACCCGCUGAACUUAAGCAUAUCA